CAGAAAAUCCGGAACCCAGAUUCCGCGGAGCGCGCCUGGGCACGCCGCCCCCACGACUGCCAGACCCUGGACAGAGGCCACCCAGGCGGACCGCCCGCGUUUCCUGACAGCGGUCCCAAGAGACUAGGUGACUGCAGCCUUCCCCACGGCCUGGAGAAGCCUUGAAGUGAACUCUCUGGCAAAUGUAAGGGCUCCACCUGCCUUGCUCUUACCUGGACUUGGACCUCCUGAAACCUCUGUCUUCAUCAGACAUGGCUCUUCUCCUUUCUCUAACUGGGAAAUCACACCAGGUUUGGAAAGCUGGUAUCCUGCUUACAAGAAGGAAAAACUGCAUGUGCUGAGCAAAUCUAUCACAGAGGUGGAAAAACAGCCCUCAGCAGAGAUUCUCCUCAGGUCUGCUGCUGCUGCUAAUUAAUCGCUUCAGUCGUGUCCGACUCUGUGCGACCCCAUAGACGGCAGCCAACCAUGCUCCCCGGUCAUUGGAUUCUCCAGGU